AUUGAACGCUGGCGGCAUGCCUUACACAUGCAAGUCGAACGGCAGCACGGGCGCAAUCCUGGUGGCGAGUGGCGAACGGGUGAGUAAUAUAUCGGAACGUGCCCAGUCGUGGGGGAUAACGCAGCGAAAGCUGUGCUAAUACCGCAUACGAUCUACGGUUGAAAGCGGGGGAUCGCAAGACCUCGCGCGGAUGGAACGACCGAUAUCAGAUUAGCUAGUUGGAGAGGUAAAGGCUCACCAAGGCGACGAUCUGGAGCUGGUAUGAGAGGACGACCAGCCACACUGGAACUGAGACACGGUCCAGACUCCUACGGGAGGCAGCAGUGGGGAAUUUUGGACAAUGGGCGAAAGCCUGAUCCAGCAAUGCCGCGUGCAGGAUGAAGGCCUUCGGGUUGUAAACUGCUUUUGUACGGAACGAAACGGUGAGCUCUAAUACAGUUUGCUAAUGACGGUACCGUAAGAAUAAGCACCGGCUAACUACGUGCCAGCCGCCGCCGUAA
rnacentral:rRNA from 1 species